rnacentral:rRNA from 1 species
AUUGAACGCUGGCGGCAGGCCUAACACAUGCAAGUCGAGCGGAGCGGCGGACGGGUGAGUAAUGCCUAGGAAUCUGCCUGGUAGUGGGGGAUACCGUCCGGAAACGGGCGCUAAUACCGCAUACUAUCAGAUGAGCCUAGGUCGGAUUAGCUAGUUGGUGGGGUAAAGGCCUCCCAAGGCGACGAUCCGUAACUGGUAUGAGAGGAUGAUCAGUCAGACUGGAACUGAGACACGGUCCAGACUCCUACGGGAGGCAGCAGUGGGGAAUAUUGGACAAUGGGCGAAAGCCUGAGCCAGCCAUGAGGGGGGUAUGAAGAAGGUCUUCGGAGUGUAAAGCACUUAAAGUUGGGAGGCGGUACCAACAGAAUAAGCACCGGCUAAUUUCGUGCCAGCAGCCGCGGUAAUUC